ACCUUGGUGGUGCAGUGGUGGCACGAGUCGCCGGUAUGGAUGAAAUGCAGGUUCGACUCCCGUCUGAGGUC